UUGCUUCGGCAGCACAUAUGCUAAAAUUGGAAUGAUAAAGAGAGGAUUAGCAUGGUCCCUGCACAAGGAUGACAGACAAACUCAUGAAUUGUUCCAUAUUUUU
ensembl:snRNA U6 U6 spliceosomal RNA